UACGUAGGGGGGCAAGCGUUGUCCGGAUUUACUGGGCGUAAAGAGCGUGUAGGCGGCUUGGUAGGUCCGCUGUGAAAACUCGAGGCUCAACCUCGAGAUGUCGGCGGAAACCACUUGGCUAGAGUCCGGAAGAGGAGAGUGGAAUUCCUGGUGUAGCGGUGAAAUGCGCAGAUAUCAGGAAGAACACCUAUGGCGAAGGCAGCUCUCUGGGACGGUACUGACGCUGAGACGCGAAAGCGUGGGGAGCGAACAGG
rnacentral:rRNA from 1 species